rnacentral:rRNA from 1 species
AUUGAACGCUGGCGGCAGGCCUAACACAUGCAAGUCGAACGGUAACAGGAAGAAGCUUGCUUCUUUGCUGACGAGUGGCGGACGGGUGAGUAAUGUCUGGGAAACUACCUGAUGGAGGGGGAUAACUACUGGAAACGGUAGCUAAUACCGCAUAACGUCGCAAGACCAAAAAGGGGGACCUUCGGGCCUCUUGCCAUCGGAUGUGCCCAGAUGGGAUUAGCUAGUAGGUGGGGUAACGGCUCACCUAGGCGACGAUCCCUAGCUGGUCUGAGAGGAUGACCAGCCACACUGGAACUGAGACACGGUCCAGACUCCUACGGGAGGCAGCAGUGGGGAAUAUUGCACAAUGGGCGCAAGCCUGAUGCAGCCAUGCCGCGUGUAUGAAGAAGGCCUUCGGGUUGUAAAGUACUUUCAGCGGGGAGGAAGGGAGUAAAGUUAAUACCUUUGCUCAUUGACGUUACCCGCAGAAGAAGCACCGGCUAACUCCGUG